UACGUAGGGUGCAAGCGUUAUCCGGAAUGAUUGGGCGUAAAGCGUCCGCAGGUGGCAAUGUAAGUCUGCUGUUAAAGAGUCUAGCUCAACUAGAUAAAAGCAGUGGAAACUACAUAGCUAGAGUACGUUCGGGGCAGAGGGAAUUCCUGGUGUAGCGGUGAAAUGCGCAGAUAUCAGGAAGAACACCCGUGGCUAAGGCGGCUCUCUAGUACGGUACUGACGCUGAGACGCGAAAGCGUGGGGAGCGAACAGG
rnacentral:rRNA from 1 species